AUUGAACGCUGGCGGCAGGCCUAACACAUGCAAGUCGAGCGGAUGAAGGGAGCUUGCUCCUGGAUUCAGCGGCGGACGGGUGAGUCCUGCCUAGGAAUUCGCCUGGUCUUGGGGGAUAACGUCCUGAAACGGGCGCUUAUACCCCAUACGUCCUGUGGGAGACAGUGGGUGAUCCUCGGAUCGCACGCUUUCUUAUGAGCAUAGGUCCGAUCCGCUAGUUGGAGGGGUAACUGCCUACCAAGGCGACGAUCCGUAACUGGUCUGAGAGGAUGAUCAGUCACACUGGCACUGAGACACGGUCCAGACUCCUACGGGAGGAAGCAGUCGAGAAUAUUGGACGAUGGGCGAAAGCCUGAUCCAGCCAUGCCGCGUGUGUGAAGAAGGUCUUCGGAUGGGAAAGCGCUUAAGGUUGGGGGGAAGGGCAGUAAGUUAAUACCUUACUGUUUUGACAUUACCAACAGAAUAAGCACCGGCUAACUUCGUG
rnacentral:rRNA from 1 species